CUGAACCAACUGAUGAAUGUGGUGAAGUCUUCCCUUCGUCACCCCAGGUGCAGCCACAGCCUCUGCAGCCACCCUGGGGGAGAGACAGCUCCAGGACCUGCUAAGGUGAGGUGUUCUGGAAGGGUCUCUGCUCCUAGCAGUCACUGGCAGCUUGCCCAAAUUGGAGAAGUUUAACAUCUCUUUUCUCUGAGAAGUAAAAUGUGUUUCUUUGGUGGAUGUGAAACCAACAAACCACUGUGGUGCCUCUCUACAUCUGAAGGAUGAGCCAGCCAAGCCAGGGGAACUGACGACCCCACACACGUCUGCACUGCUGUGGCCGUGUUGAACACGGACUCCUUCUUCAGGGCAGCCUUGGGCCAUCGGAGGGCUGCUGUAUGCAGUGACGGCCACCAAGUGUCCUUGGCCAGGGGAGUGAUUUACAGGGACUGAGAUCCUGACUUGUGACCCAGACACGAAUGCAUCCUUGUUCCAUUUUGUUAUUGCUCAACCGUCAUCUGGCCAUCCCCAAAGCCCACCUCUGUGAGAAAGGCCAGUGCUUGUCCUCGUGACACCCCUGAGACCUCGAUGGAGCAAGUCCCAGGGCCCAUCAUACAUUUUUAAAGAAAAUCUUCUUUUGGUGAGAAGAUCAAAGGGCCAGGCAGAAAUGGAAAAGCACUUUCUGGCAUCAGACUUCCUCUGACUUCUCCGGUUGCCACACCACUGAAAGACUGCCCCACAGUGCGAGGGACGUCCACAUCUGCCUGGCUCUCCGAGGGAUGAACAGCCUUCAGUUCAGCUUCCUGUCACACCCCAAAAUCCACCAGGGCUCUGCAGUCAUAGAGCCCUGGAACCCAGAGGUGGAAACUUAAAGGAAUGAGUGCUCUCUCGCUCCAAAACCACAGAUAUCUGGUCCAUAGAGAACCCACCACACUUGUAUACAUUUUCAUACGUCUGCGCACAUACACAAAUGCACAAACACAUGUUCAGCUGUUGAUAAUCAUCUGAUCUUUUGCUCUUUCGAUGUAAAUAUGGCCAGAUAUCUCUGGCUUUAAUUCUCAUUAAAAUUUUGAAAGUUAUACUUUCUAUACAAUAUACAUCAUGGAUGUCCAAUCUUUUGGCUUCCCUGUGCCAGAUUGAAAGAAGAAGAAUUGUCUUGGGGCCUGGCGUGAUGGCUCAUGCCUAUUAAUUCCAACACUUUGGGAGGCGGAGGUGGGAGGAUCACCUGAGAUCAGGAGUUCACGACUAGCCUGGCCAACAUGGUGAAACCCCCCCAUCUCUACUAAAAAUAUAAAAAUUAGCGAAGCAUGGUGGCACAUGCCUGUAAUCCCAGCUAUGCAGGAGGCUGAGGCAGGGGAAUCACUUGAUCCCAGGAAGCAGAGGUUGCAGUGAGCCAAGAUUGCACCAUUGCAUUCCAGCCUGGGCAACAGAGUGAGACCCAGUCUCAAGAAAAAAAAAAAAGAAUUAUCUUGGGCCACACAUACACACAUAAAAUACACUAACACUAAUGAUAGCUAAUGAGCUAAAAAAAAUUUCAAGAAUAUCAUAAUGUUUUAAGAGUUUAUGAAUUUGUGUUGGGCCACAUUCAAAGUCAUUGUGGGCUGCAUGUGGCCCGAGGGCCGCAGGUUGGACAAGCUUGAUAUACAUAUUAUGUAUAUUAUAUAUUUCUGUGAAAACAGAAUAAAUCCAAGACUGAGGAUCUAAUUCCAAAAUUCAUUUUUGUAGGCAUUCUGAGACUUAACUAUUUUUCUAGUCACAUAAUAAGGAAAGGAUCCUUACAGAAAUACUGAAAGCUCUUGGUUCUGCCUUUGCUGAUGUUUUCUCUUUUCUCUAUUCCCUCUCCCUUCACACUCGUCCUCAUUCUACAGCCUCAAGCUUGUGUCAUUGUUCACAUCUGCUUCCCCAUCUCUGGAGUCUCUGUCAAGGCUCACCCUGGAUUUGAGGUAGGUUAAGUAGCCAAUGAGCCCAGCUGGUCCACAGACACCAAAAUUGUGUGUCCUGGAUGAAGUCAGCAUCUUUCCCUCGCCCUGUGCCUUUCUUGUCUGUUGGUUCCUAUUUCUGUUCCUACUCACAAUCUACCUCUGGGGAUAUCACCUGUCU
rnacentral:lncRNA from 1 species